UGACUACAGGGGUAUCUAAUCCCUUUCGCUCCCCUAGCUUUCGUCCCUCAGUGUCAGUGCAGACCCAGCAAGGCGCCUUCGCCACCGAUGUUCUUCCCAAUAUCUACGCAUUUCACCGCUACACUGGGAAUUCCCCUUGCCCCUAUCGCACUCUAGCCACCCAGUUUCAAUUGCCCUUAUAGAGUUAAGCUCUACGCUUUAACAACUGACUUGGAUAACCACCUACGGACGCUUUACGCCCAAUAAUUCCGGAUAACGCUUGCCUCCUCCGUAUUACCGCGGCUGCUGGCACGGAGUUAGCCGAGGCUGAUUCGAUAGGUACCGUCAUUGUGUUCCCCCCUAUCAAAAGAGGUUUACAACCAGUAGGCCUUCCUCCCUCACGCGGUCUUGCUCCGUCAGGCUUUCGCCCAUUGCGGAAAAUUCCCCACUGCUGCCUCCCGUAGGAGUCUGGGCCGUGUCUCAGUCCCAGUGUGACUGAUCAUCCUCUCAGACCAGCUACUGAUCGUCGCCUUGGUAGUCCCUUACACUACCAACUAGCUAAUCAGACGCGAGCUCUUCCCCAGGCCAUAUAAGUUUUACCUCUCGGCACAUCGGGUAUUAGCAGUCGUUUCCAACUGUUGUCCCCAUCCUAAGGGUAGAUUCUCACGCGUUACUCACCCGUCCG
rnacentral:rRNA from 1 species